UUAGGCAAAAUUGCUUAACUUAUGCGGUCACCCGCCGCGUAGUCCCUAGAACGGACAUUGGACUCCUAAAAGGAGAAAACAAUG
rnacentral:ncRNA from 1 species